rfam:Tnidentified eubacterium SCB49 1103407000330, whole genome shotgun sequence.
UAUUUUUGCAGCCGAAUUACGAGACACGUUAUUCAUACAUAAAAAUCAUUAAAUAAUAUUAGCAUG